rnacentral:lncRNA from 1 species
AUGAAAAAGCUCCGUUUUCCAUAUGGUUGCCGUUUUGAUAAACAAACCGUGUUUUUAAAAACAACAGGCAUACAGUACCUCACAUCAAGUGACAAGGGCUCAUCUCUAAUAGCACUCUCCUUUUCUUCUCCCAUCACCCAUCACUCACCUGGACAUUCUGAACAGGACGGAUAUCGAGGAAAUCUAAUCUCGGCACAGAUUCUAGGAAGACUUCCUUCUUCAAGCUGGGGAGCUGGCUCAGAGGUUAAGAACACUAGCUGGUCCAGCCAGAGGUUCUGAGUUCAAGUCCCAUCAACCACAUGGUGGCGGCUCACAACUAUCUGUAAUCAGAUCUGGCGCCCUCUUCUGGCCUGCAGGCAUACAUGCAGGCAGAAUACUGCAUACAUAAUAAAACGUUUAAAAAUAUUUUACAUAUGAGGGCCUUUGGCCUGCACAUUUGUU